CUUACAGGGCAGUAACUCGUUCAAGCUCUAGCAGUUGUAAGGAGCAGAGCUGGGGUUUAGCCAUAGGUUUAUCUCUUGCCAAACCCAAGCUCUGAAUCACCCCACUGCACGGCCUUGAGUGACUUCCUGGGCAGGAGCUAUUGAGCUCUAAGUACCUUGCGGCAGAUAAAAAUAUUGCAGGUAAAAGAAUUCACUUGACCUGAUUUUGUUUUACUUUAAAUCUCUGUUGCUCUCAGAAAAGAUUCAUUUUCACACUACUUGGUUAUUCCUCCUCUAAGACUGUGCUUUGAUUUUGGUUUCAAAUAGAUAUAAGCUGAUGAUAAUCAGGCUUCUCUUUCUGACCCUGUAAAGGUUCACACUUGCGUGCUCUCUCUCUUUUUUUUUUUUUUCCCGAGGAUCUGGGGUCCAUACACAAAAGCUGUGUGGCCUCACGUGAACCAGUAAAGCACAAUAGACUGCAAGAGUAGACCUGAGUACUGAUUUUCUCUAGGGGCCACCAAAUGGGGAUGUUUCUCUCUGCCCAUCUAACAGGAUGUGUAUCUUCAUCACCUUCCUCUCAAUUAUGUCUUUGCCUACUUACAGUUUGAAGCAUAGACUCUUGGCCUUCAAGAAGGUACUCUUGUAGUUCCCUGGUUAAGGACUCAGCAUUGUCACUGCUAUGGCUCAAGUUUGAUCUCUGGCCCAGGAACUUUUGAAUGCCAUGAGUGCAGGAAAAAAAAGGGGGGGGGUGAAAGUAGAUAGGUAGGUGCUCUUCACAGUUUCAAUUCAAUCGCUGGUAACCUAACAGGUGUUUAAUAUCUUAGUGACUAGUGACUUUGCCGAGGCCUGGAUGGAAUCAUGGAGAUUUCAGAGCUAGAAGGCAGGAGAAAAUCUAAGUGAGCCAAGCUACCUGUAAAGCAUCGCCCUAUGACUAUAUCAUUGCACAUUGAGGCCUCGCAAAUAGCUACUAAAAUACCGACAGAGUCACUUGAAAGACCUCCCACUUUGCAAAGGCCGGAAACCUAGGCCCCUAUUCCUGAUUAGCUGUUCAAACCCAGCCACUUGGUCAUAGAUAGUAUUUGCAAACAUUUCUAGGAAAGCCAGGUUUUCACUCCCUUCUUUCUGGGCUGGUUUUCAGCUUUUUUGUUUUGGGGGCCCCUGGCAAUUUCCAUUCAUCUCUUAUUAUCUAAUUUAUAGAGCUCAGAUGAUAUGGAUACAUUUAUUCAACCUUUUUAGAUUGUUUAUGGGGAGAACUUUAAAAUGGUAUAUUCUACUGUCUUGUCUCACUCAGAGAAAAAUAUACACCAAUACUCUACUCUGCACCUGGUAAUAAGAGAGGAAUCAUGGGGGAAAAAAGAGGGGGGAGGAAUCUGAUCAGAACGUCUGUUAAGAAAAUGUAGUUAUAGCUGCUGGUGUCAUAUUUGUUCAUUUGUUGAGAACACACAGUUCAGUUCAGGCACUGAAUAGUAGCUGGGACUACAAAGAUGAGGAGACUCUGAGCCCUUGACAGUGCGUUCUGAAUAUUCAGUCCUACGAUGCGUCUAUGGAUAAAAUAUGCACUAGUACACAGGGGGACCUCUCUGGGUCUAGGAAGCCAGAUGAGGAAGUUGCAUCUAAGAAAUUCUUCCCGCACACUCCCUCUCAGGGUAUCUGUCGAUUUUAAUUUUACAUUUUCCAAGAAGAUUGUUGCAAACCCACAUAUGUGAGCUCAUUGGCACCCUCCUACCCUACGGGGUGAGCCCGGGAGGAGUGGAGCAACUCCGUUUCCUCUUUUCCUCAGAUAACUGCACUGAGCAGAAAAAUGCCUGGCUUUAGCAUUCUAGGGCCCAGAAAUAAGUGUUUUGGGUUGCAGGCAUCUGCUGACGGGAUGGGAGCACAGUGCUGCUUCCUCCUGGCAAAAUCAGCCCUCGGGAGUUGGGGCCGACCUGGCCCCCAAAUCAGAAGGAGCUAUAGUACCAGGUAGCUUAUUUGGGUAAACUUUUAAUCUGCCACUGAGAAAAACAGAAGUGAAGUUCUGGGGGGCCCUGGGGAUUUGGGAUUAUAUGUAUGAUCCUUUCCUGGUUUCUAUAUUGAAUCGCUGGGUUCACUUCAUUAUUAAUGUUCCUGCACCUGUGCCCUUUUUAUAGAGGUGCCAAAGGAAAUUAAGUUACCUUGCUUUCCCCCCAAAUUAAAAGAUAGUGAAAUUAUCAGAUAGUGGUAGCAUGGUACAGUAGAAAGAAUAUCAAAUCAAGAAUCAAGAAAUCUGGGCUCUGUUCCCAGGAUCGCCAUUAACGAGACUUGCAAAUAAGAUAAUUCACCUUUUCAAGGGGCCAUUUCAUCACUUGUAAAAUGAAAGUUUUAUACUAAAUAGUCUUCAAGGAUCCUUCCAGCCUUAGAAUUGUAUGUAUCUAUGGUGCUUUAAAGUAGCAUUCUGGUCAUCAAGAGUCCCUGGGGGGCCUCAAAGGCCUUCCCAGUUUUGCCCUGAGAGUCUAAGAGAGGCUUGCAGUGAAGCUCAGGCAUUAUGGACAUUGUAGGCAGAUCCAAGGGAUAAAAGAAUCAGGCUGGAGGUCACCAUUCACUGGAGAGCCAGAGAGCUUCCAUCUGCUGCAAGGACUUCACUGGGUGUGGCACCACAGCUGUCUUGGAAAAGGGCUUCUUUUGGCCUGAUGCAGCCUAAUCAAUACGAAGAAAUGGGUGUGGGUCUGAUUUGUCAUUCACAUAACUAAAAAGAUUUGAUGGGAAAUGAUAGUAGGAGAAAGAAAAUAGUGCUAGCAUCAUUCAAAAAUGAGAUUAGUGUCUUCUGGUAUAAAACACUCCUCCAGGUGACAAAUCAGGAUUCUGUCCCAUGCUUUGCCUCCUAGAGGGAUAUAAUCACUUUCGACUGAGAUCUCAGUCUUAGAUUAGCAGAGCAGAAGGUCCGAAGGCUCAAACUAACCUUUCUAAAACCUCAGUGUGGUCGUGGGUUCUGUUGCAAGCUGUAUAAGAAAAAAUGUUCUUAAUCGAAUCCGCAUAAUAGAGGUUUCAUCAGCCAAUCAAAGUUUACAGAACUCUUCUUGACAGUAGGCUCUGUGAUAAGCAGUCUGGGACCACCUGCCUCUCUGUUUGGCCCUCUUCCUCCACUUUGCAGAGUUUUCUCCGGCCCCUCUGCCCCUCUGAAUCAUCCAACGCUAAAUUUUUUUCCACAGUGGUUGACUGUAGCAGAACCAGCCCUUGAAAGCUUAUGCAGUGCCCAACCCACCCCAAAUCUGAAUCAGGUACUUCUCUCCUAUCCUCAUGUCUGUGCUGGCAUGUAUCAUCAGAGGCUUUAACUGCUUACAGGGGCUUCUCUUGAGGACCAGAGCCAUGUUUUAUUUCUCUCUGUAUCCCCACAACAGUACCUGGCACAUACAGGUGUGGAAUAUAGAUUGAGCGAUUGAAUGAAUGACCACAUCCAAAGGCAACAGACAGGGCUACCAUCCCCAUACCCAGCUCCCCAGAACAACUUAAACAGAAAACAUCACCAGAUACUAUAACACAAAGAAGGAGUUACCUUGGCUUCUGAGACGUGUUCAAAGUUGAAUGGAUAGGAUAGACCAACAGCCUUUCCUCUUUGUAUUUCAUCACUUGUGCACAGCCGUUUAUAUGGCCCCCUCAUCUGCCUGGAACACAGCCAGCUGGCAAGAAAAGGCUUCCUAUAACAUCUGAAAUAAGUAUCAUCAAACUCAUACAUCAUAAGAACACCCCAGCUUCUCUCUCAGAUUUAAGUAUUCAUUUUAGAAAUAACUCUACAAAGCUUGACCCAUGAGGGGGGUGUGUGUGUGUGCGUGCGCGCGCACGCGCGCAGCCUCCUUGCAAGCAAAAAUGAAAAGUAUUCAUGUUAAUGGCUUUGUAGUCCGUAAGUCAGGGAAAGGCAGGGAGACAGAAAUUUUAUAAAGGCUUUUUCUUUUGUCAAAAUGGUUUAAGUGAAAAUGAGAAAAGUGGCUCUUUAAUCAGCUUUAGGAGUUCCGAUCAUGGCUCAGUGGUGAAUGAACCUGACUAGUACUCAUGAGGACAUGGGUCCGAUCCCUGGCCUUGCUCAGUGGGUUAAGGAUCCAACGUUGCCAUGAGCUGUGGUGUAGGUCACAGAUGCGGCUUGGAUCCCGUGUUGCUGUGGCUGUGGUGCAGGCCAUCAGCUACAGCUCCAAUUGGACCCAUAGCCUGGGAACCUCUGUAUACAGCAGAGUGUAGCCCUAAAAAGACAAAAAAAUAAAAUUAAAGAAAUCAGCUUUAGGUAUUUGAAAAAGUCACUUAUGUAAGACAUUGUAUUUUCUGAUGUUAUAGGAAGAUGAGGGGCGCGUAUGGAUGGGUAAUGAAGACUUCACCCAUGGACACAUUGUGCAGAGAAACCAAGCCUUGACUUUCCCUUGGGGAGCUUUCCUGUCAGGAGGAGGGAUGUCCCAAGUCUGGCACCUUUCAGUUAUUGAGACUUGCUUCUCCCAGUCCACAUCCAGUCUUCAGAUACUUUAUAAAAACUUUGGAUCAAUUAGUCAUUUUUCUUUUCCUAUUUUUUCCAUUGUAACUUCGGACUCAAGCUGUCAAGCUUCCCAGGCACAUGUUGCCAUUGGAGACUCUGUUUGUUUAGGGUGGAGUAGUUGUUUUUGGCAGGUUAGGGGAGGAGCAAAUUAAUUCUAAUAGGUAUAUAGUAAAUUAAAUGCUUGGGUCUUUCCAACCUUUUCUCUGUAUUUCUGUUCCUUUUUGUAAGUUCUCAUCUCUUCUCAGAUGACCCUUUAAGAGCAGAAAAGAAGCAGCUUCUAGAAAUCAUAUCCAGGCUAUAGCGACCGAAGUCCAAGGCGACCGAAGUCCACUGGGACCUAGAAAGGGUCACCUAGACCAUUUCUGCUCUUUUCAACAUAGCUUCCCCUAAUGCUCUUGAGAUGAGAAGCCACCCUUGGGGAAGAUGUUAGAAAGAAAGAUUCCCCAGGAUCUUUCUUUCAUCCUUUCAAAUAUCUAAGUUGUUCUUAUGAAAAGGAAAAUUUGCUUUAGUGCUCCUUUAAUCCCCCAUACUGAAGAACAUACUUGUAUAUGUAGGAAAAGUAUUUUGGGUGCUCUUUGGAUUUU
rnacentral:lncRNA from 1 species